rnacentral:rRNA from 1 species
CUACGGGAGGCAGCAGUGAGGAAUAUUGCCCAAUGGGCGCAAGCCUGAGGCAGCAACGCCGCGUGGACGAUGAAGGCCUUCGGGUUGUAAAGUCCUUUUCUGGGGGAAGAGCAAGGACGGUACCCCAGGAAGAGGUCCCGGCUAACUACGUGCCAGCAGCCGCGGUAAUACGUAGGGGACAAGCGUUGUCCGGAUUCAUUGGGCGUAAAGAGCUCGUAGGCGGUCUAGUAAGUUGGGUGUGAAAGCUCCGGGCUCAACCCGGAGAGGUCACCCAAAACUGCUAUGACUAGAGUCCAGUAGAGGAGCGUGGAAUUCCUGGUGUAGCGGUGAAAUGCGCAGAUAUCAGGAGGAACACCAGCAGCGAAGGCGGCGCUCUGGGCUGGAACUGAUGCUGAGGAGCGAAAGCAUGGGUGGCAAACAGGAUUAGAAACCCCGGUAGUCC